GGGAACAUACCCCUUUCUACGGAAUAGCUCUGGGAAACUGGAAUUAAUACCGUAUACGCCCUACGGGGGAAAGAUUUAUCGGGGAAGGAUUGGCCCGCGUUGGAUUAGCUAGUUGGUGGGGUAAAGGCCUACCAAGGCGACGAUCCAUAGCUGGUCUGAGAGGAUGAUCAGCCACAUUGGGACUGAGACACGGCCCAAACUCCUACGGGAGGCAGCAGUGGGGAAUAUUGGACAAUGGGCGCAAGCCUGAUCCAGCCAUGCCGCGUGAGUGAUGAAGGCCUUAGGGUUGUAAAGCUCUUUCACCGAUGAAGAUAAUGACGGUAGUCGGAGAAGAAGCCCCGGCUAACUUCGUGCCAGCAGCCGCGGUAAUACGAAGGGGGCUAGCGUUGUUCGGAAUUACUGGGCGUAAAGCGCACGUAGGCGGAUAUUUAAGUCAGGGGUGAAAUCCCAGAGCUCAACUCUGGAACUGCCUUUGAUACUGGGUAUCUUGAGUAUGGAAGAGGUAAGUGGAAUUGCGAGU
rnacentral:rRNA from 1 species